UCGGAUAUUAUUUACAAAAGUUAUUGCUCGAAUUUCAAAAGGUCAUAUUGUGAUUUGACCCGCUGUUUUUGUUGGAUUUUCAGAUGUUACAAAAGUGAGGGACAAAAUCAACCAUUUGAAAGAAAAGUACAAAACGGAGCUCAAAAAGGUUGCAGAAAGUCGUGACGAUUAAUACAAUCCGACCUGGAAGAACUACAAGAGUCUUGAUGACUUUUUAAAAUGUAUUCCUCUCGAAUCAAUGUCUUCUCUGCAGGGACUUGCUCGCCCUGCUAAGAACAGUGUUCGUGCGAAAUGUCCCCCAAAAGGCCCAUCUGGGAGGGUUUCUACACCUGAAACGGCAGCAAAAAAGAAGGCCCCGCAGUCUAUUUGGGCGCAUGUGGGGACUAGUGUUGUCCAGGCUCUCGAUGGCCUUCCACCUAACAAGGCUGCUGAAGCUGCAGACAAGAUCCAGAAGAUCGUUAACAAGUACACGGCAGAAGCCAAAGUUUAGUUUUGGUGUACUGUAAAAUCUCGGUACAGUAGUACAGACUCCAGACUUAUGGUACAUUCAUCGUUAGAAUCAGUUUUCUGAAAACUUGUAAAUAAUUUGCAUGUGUGGGUUUAUAUGAGUGUUAUUAUUUCAGCUUGCAAGGAGUCAUUUUAGGGAGAAAAAAA